AUGGACCCAUCCACUUUUUCCCCAGCCUAUAUCAUUGGUACAACCUUCAUUGAAUGCCAAAUCCAGACACUGUCAGUAGCCAAGGAGGAGAAGGCUGCUUCCCAUAUAUUCACACCAAAGUGGUUUAGAUCUCAAUUGGGUGACAGCCCGUACCAGGCCACCCUGCAGGCUUAUAAUCCACUCAUACACUCAACUUUCUCCAUAAUGGCUUUAUUCUUUUCCUCCAAGGUUCAAAAUCACCAUGACUUCUCCCCCACAAAAAACAAAACAAAACAAAAACAACAACAACAACACCAAAAAACCUGACUCUGAAUCAUCACUCCUGGCCCCUAAAUAUUGGCCAUAAUUGGGUAGGCAAGAGGUAUCUGGUAUGUCUGGGUGGAAGAGUUCUUUCUCUUGUCUCCCUGAUGAUCGUUUUCAGAACACGUGGCCAUCCUUCCAAUGGCUUUGAGUAUCACAUCAUCACCAGAAAGACCUGUCUGUGUGCCUGUCCACUGCCAUCCUCCUACUCCCGGGAUUGUGGCUUAUGGGCACUCGCUCACCCUUGAACAUGGCUUGUUCACUCCAGUUCUCCCUUUCCAAAUGUUCUCAAUCCCCUGGGCUAUGCCGCAAGGGGGAUUCAGCCCUUGCCCACCGGCUAUGGUCUGAAUGUUUGUGUCUCCCUCACAUUAAUAUGUUGAAAUUUAACAUGUGAUGGUGUAAGAAGGUGGGGACUUUGGGGCUUUAUUAGGUCCUGAAGGGGUAGCCUCAUAAAAGAGGCUGCCUUGUCCCCCCACCAUAUGAAGUACCAUCUAUGAUGCAGAAACAGGCCCUCACCAGACAUCAAAUCUGCUGGUUCCUUGAUCUCAGACUUCGCAGUCUCCAGAACUGUGGGAAAUACAUUUCCGUUGUUUAUGAGCCACCCAGUUUAAGGCAUUUCAUUAGAGCAACCCAAAUGGACGAGGCCACCACCACAGUGAGGGGAGAGCUGGCUGAAUUGUGCAUGUCUGUGCUGUGUCCCAAUAAAAGCACCAUAAUCAAUGAACAUUGAUUCUGCAAUCCAUGUCUGAAGGUCAAAGGAGUUGGGAAAGGGGGGAUCCUGAAGCCAAGGAAAAGCACUGUACUCCCCAAAACUCUGCCAGCCAGGUUUACCUUUUGCAAGAUGCUAAAGAUCGAGAUGUUUUAGUUUUGCUUCUAGCUCCGUAAGCCCCACUCAAGCUCCAAUUUUGAUAUCUGCUUCUGGAUUCCUUAGUGCGGGCCCCUCCCAGGCUCCCUUCUGUUUCUGUUCUUUUUUUCUAGCAUCAUCCUUGGCUUUUCUUCUCCCUUAGGUUUGACCUCCUGUCUCCUGGGUUGAGUAACUGUCCCCUCUGGCUCCUGACCCGCUGUGGUCCCUCCAAAGCCCUCUCUACAGGCCUUUGGCCACACAGAGGCUCAACAAUCUAAUCAUCUUAAUAAUCUAAAAUUGUAAGUGCCA